CCUACGGGAGGCAGCAGUGAGGAAUAUUGGUCAAUGGGCGUAAGCCUGAACCAGCCAAGUCGCGUGAGGGAUGAAGGUUCUAUGGAUCGUAAACUUCUUUUAUAUGGGAAUAAAGCGCGGGACGUGUCCCGUUUUGUAUGUACCUUAUGAAUAAGGAUCGGCUAACUCCGUGCCAGCAGCCGCGGUAAUACGGAGGAUCCGAGCGUUAUCCGGAUUUAUUGGGUUUAAAGGGUGCGUAGGCGGCCUUUUAAGUCAGCGGUGAAAGUCUGUGGCUCAACCAUAGAAUUGCCGUUGAAACUGGGAGGCUUGAGUAUGUUUGAGGCAGGCGGAAUGCGUGGUGUAGCGGUGAAAUGCUUAGAUAUCACGAAGAACCCCGAUUGCGAAGGCAGCCUACCGAGCCGUAACUGACGCUGAUGCACGAAAGCGUGGGGAUCAAACAGGAUUAGAUACACGAGUAGUC
rnacentral:rRNA from 1 species